GUGUCUGGUGGGUAGUUUGACUGGGGCGGUCUCCUCCUAAAGAGUAACGGAGGAGCACGAAGGUUGGCUAAUCCUGGUCGGACAUCAGGAGGUUAGUGCAAUGGCAUAAGCCAGCUUGACUGCGAGCGUGACGGCGCGAGCAGGUGCGAAAGCAGGUCAUAGUGAUCCGGUGGUUCUGAAUGGAAGGGCCAUCGCUCAACGGAUAAAAGGUACUCCGGGGAUAACAGGCUGAUACCGCCCAAGAGUUCAUAUCGACGGCGGUGUUUGGCACCUCGAUGUCGGCUCAUCACAUCCUGGGGCUGAAGUAGGUCCCAAGGGUAUGGCUGUUCGCCAUUUAAAGUGGUACGCGAGCUGGGUUUAGAACGUCGUGAGACAGUUCGGUCCCUAUCUGCCGUGGGCGCUGGAGAACUGAGGGGGGCUGCUCCUAGUACGAGAGGACCGGAGUGGACGCAUCACUGGUGUUCGGGUUGUCAUGCCAAUGGCACUGCCCGGUAGCUAAAUGCGGAAGAGAUAAGUGCUGAAAGCAUCUAAGCACGAAACUUGCCCCGAGAUGAGUUCUCCCUGAGACUUAGAGUCUCCUGAAGGAACGUUGAAGACGACGACGUUGAUAGGCCGGGUGUGUAAGCGCAGCGAUGCGUUGAGCUAACCGGUACUAAUGAACCGUGAGGCUUAACCUUACAACGCCGAAG
rnacentral:rRNA from 2 species